AGUGAACGCUGGCGGUAGGCCUAAUACAUGCAAGUCGAACGGCAGCACAGUAAGAGCUUGCCCUUACGGUUGGCGAGUGGCGGACGGGUGAGGAAUACAUAGGAUUCUACUUUUUCGUGGGGGAUAACGUAGGGAAACUUACGAUAAUACCGCAUACGACCUACGGGUGAAAGCAGGGGAGCUUCGGACCUUGCGUGUUAGAAUGAGCCGAUGUCGGAUUAGCUAGUUGGCGGGGUAAAGGCUCACCAAGGCAACGAUCCGUAGCUGAUCUGAGAGGAUGAUCAGCCACACUGGAACUGAGACACGGUCCAGACUCCUACGGGAGGCAGCAGUAGGGAAUAUUGGGCAAUGGGCGAAAGCCUGACGCAGCAACGCCGCGUGAGUGAUGAAGGCCUUCGGAUUGUAAAACUCUGUUAUUAGGGAAGAACAGAUGUGUAAUUAAAUGUCGAUGUCUUGACGGUACCUAAACAGAAAGCACCGGCUAACUUCGUG
rnacentral:rRNA from 1 species